GCCUUGUUGCCUCCCUGCUUGCCUCCCUGGACUGUCCAUGAUCAUCAUGAUGAAUUCAUAAAACUUGCUGCAUUCUUGAUUGAGAUGGAGCAGUGGAGAAAACAAGAGUGACGUAGAGAAGAAAAGCAAUAUCCACAACUGGAGAGGUCCUCACAUUCGUGAAUCUUUCUCCCAUCCAUGAGAAAGCACAGGAAUUGUGGGGGUAAUCCUAGAACACGUGAAGGCCAGUGCCACUCUCACCUGUCUCUCGCCCACAGCCCCCUCUCGUCUCCUCCUCCAUCUCCCAAGGGAAAGAUGCCCACACUUCUCUCAUGACAGAUCUGUUCCCUGCAGAUCUGAACUGCAAAUCCUGCCUCUCUUCAAGGUGACAGACUGUUGUAUGCCCAAUUCGCCCCUAAAGCACUCCCCCGAUGGCUUUCUCACACUCUCUUCAGUGCAAAGCACACACACACGAUUCCCACAGAUCA